UACGUAGGGUCCGAGCGUUGUCCGGAUUUAUUGGGCGUAAAGAGCUCGUAGGCGGCUCAGUAAGUCGGAUGUGAAAACUCGGGGCUCAACCCCGAGACGCCAUCCGAUACUGCUGUGGCUUGAAUCUGGUAGGGGAGCACGGAAUUCCUGGUGUAGCGGUGAAAUGCGCAGAUAUCAGGAGGAACACCGGCGGCGAAGGCGGUGCUCUGGGCCAGUAUUGACGCUGAGGAGCGAAAGCGUGGGUAGCAAACGGG
rnacentral:rRNA from 1 species